rnacentral:rRNA from 1 species
UUAAGCGACUAAGCGUACACGGUGGAUGCCCUGGCAGUCAGAGGCGAUGAAGGACGUGCUAAUCUGCGAUAAGCGUCGGUAAGGUGAUAUGAACCGUUAUAACCGGCGAUUUCCGAAUGGGGAAACCCAGUGUGUUUCGACACACUAUCAUUAACUGAAUCCAUAGGUUAAUGAGGCGAACCGGGGGAACUGAAACAUCUAAGUACCCCGAGGAAAAGAAAUCAACCGAGAUUCCCCCAGUAGCGGCGAGCGAACGGGGAGCAGCCCAGAGCCUGAAUCAGUGUGUGUGUUAGUGGAAGCGUCUGGAAAGGCGCGCGAUACAGGGUGACAGCCCCGUACACAAAAAUGCACAUGCUGUGAGCUCGAUGAGUAGGGCGGGACACGUGGUAUCCUGUCUGAAUAUGGGGGGACCAUCCUCCAAGGCUAAAUACUCCUGACUGACCGAUAGUGAACCAGUACCGUGAGGGAAAGGCGAAAAGAACCCCGGCGAGGGGAGUGAAAAAGAACCUGAAACCGUGUACGUACAAGCAGUGGGAGCACGCUUAGGCGUGUGACUGCGUACCUUUUGUAUAAUGGGUCAGCGACUUAUAUUCUGUAGCAAGGUUAACCGAAUAGGGGAGCCGAAGGGAAACCGAGUCUUAACUGGGCGUUAAGUUGCAGGGUAUAGACCCGAAACCCGGUGAUCUAGCCAUGGGCAGGUUGAAGGUUGGGUAACACUAACUGGAGGACCGAACCGACUAAUGUUGAAAAAUUAGCGGAUGACUUGUGGCUGGGGGUGAAAGGCCAAUCAAACCGGGAGAUAGCUGGUUCUCCCCGAAAGCUAUUUAGGUAGCGCCUCGUGAAUUCAUCUCCGGGGGUAGAGCACUGUUUCGGCAAGGGGGUCAUCCCGACUUACCAACCCGAUGCAAACUGCGAAUACCGGAGAAUGUUAUCACGGGAGACACACGGCGGGUGCUAACGUCCGUCGUGAAGAGGGAAACAACCCAGACCGCCAGCUAAGGUCCCAAAGUCAUGGUUAAGUGGGAAACGAUGUGGGAAGGCCCAGACAGCCAGGAUGUUGGCUUAGAAGCAGCCAUCAUUUAAAGAAAGCGUAAUAGCUCACUGGUCGAGUCGGCCUGCGCGGAAGAUGUAACGGGGCUAAACCAUGCACCGAAGCUGCGGCAGCGACGCUUAUGCGUUGUUGGGUAGGGGAGCGUUCUGUAAGCCUGUGAAGGUGUGUUGUGAGGCAUGCUGGAGGUAUCAGAAGUGCGAAUGCUGACAUAAGUAACGAUAAAGCGGGUGAAAAGCCCGCUCGCCGGAAGACCAAGGGUUCCUGUCCAACGUUAAUCGGGGCAGGGUGAGUCGACCCCUAAGGCGAGGCCGAAAGGCGUAGUCGAUGGGAAACAGGUUAAUAUUCCUGUACUUGGUGUUACUGCGAAGGGGGGACGGAGAAGGCUAUGUUGGCCGGGCGACGGUUGUCCCGGUUUAAGCGUGUAGGCUGGUUUUCCAGGCAAAUCCGGAAAAUCAAGGCUGAGGCGUGAUGACGAGGCACUACGGUGCUGAAGCAACAAAUGCCCUGCUUCCAGGAAAAGCCUCUAAGCAUCAGGUAACAUCAAAUCGUACCCCAAACCGACACAGGUGGUCAGGUAGAGAAUACCAAGGCGCUUGAGAGAACUCGGGUGAAGGAACUAGGCAAAAUGGUGCCGUAACUUCGGGAGAAGGCACGCUGAUAUGUAGGUGAAGUCCCUUGCGGAUGGAGCUGAAAUCAGUCGAAGAUACCAGCUGGCUGCAACUGUUUAUUAAAAACACAGCACUGUGCAAACACGAAAGUGGACGUAUACGGUGUGACGCCUGCCCGGUGCCGGAAGGUUAAUUGAUGGGGUCAGCGCAAGCGAAGCUCUUGAUCGAAGCCCCGGUAAACGGCGGCCGUAACUAUAACGGUCCUAAGGUAGCGAAAUUCCUUGUCGGGUAAGUUCCGACCUGCACGAAUGGCGUAAUGAUGGCCAGGCUGUCUCCACCCGAGACUCAGUGAAAUUGAACUCGCUGUGAAGAUGCAGUGUACCCGCGGCAAGACGGAAAGACCCCGUGAACCUUUACUAUAGCUUGACACUGAACAUUGAGCCUUGAUGUGUAGGAUAGGUGGGAGGCUU